AUGUCUUUCGCAGGCGGCAAACUAUGCCCCUCCCGGUCGGUCAUCAACGACGCCGGCGCCGCCAGCGGGUACCACCUGUUCGUGGUAGAAGGCUACUCGCGCAGCAAGGACAUGGGUGACAUCAAGUCUCGCCGUUUCAGAGUUGGAGGGCAUCUCUGGUUUCUCGAGUACUGGCCCAGCUGUUGUCGGACAGAUGGGAGCGCCAUAUCUGAUGCCAUUCGCCUUCAUCAGGACGUUGCAGGGCCUGUAAAGGCGCAGUUCAGGUUUAGUUUCAUUGACCAGCCCGACAAGCACAAGUCAAAAUACAAACCUUACUUCCCUGGCAAGUAUGGUAUGAGCUUCUCUGAUCUUCUAGAGAGGGAUGACUUGGAACAGUCAAAACAUGUCGAGGAUGACGGUUUCACCAUCCGGUGUGAUAUCAUCGUCGAGGACGUCAUCGACGCUGGGGCCGAGGGCACCGGUACCGCUUCACCGUUCAUUACGGUGCCGCCGCCAGACAUGCAGCAGCACUUUACCGAUCUCCUGGCCGCCAAGGAAGGCAUCGACGUGAAGUUCGAGGUUGGUGGUGAGAUAUUCAACGCACACCGGUGCAUCCUUGCGGCCCGGUCUAGAGUCUUCAAGGCCGAGCUCUUGGGCCCGAUGAAGGAGGGCACGGCCACUGCAGACGCCAUACAUGUAGAGGACGUGGAGGCUCCAGCAUUCAGGGCAAUGCUCAAAUUCAUCUACAGUGACUUGGAGCCGGAGAUGGAGAAGGAAGAUGGUGAAGACCCAGUAUGGCAGUGGCAGAACCUGCUCGUGGCGGCUGAUAGGUACGAUCUCCAGCGGCUGAAGCUCAUGUGUGAAGAUAAGCUGUGCGGGUUCGUCGACGUGAGCACCACGCCCAGCAUCCUGGCGCUAGCUGAGCGCCACUGCUGUGACGGGCUGAAGACGGCAUGCUACAACUUUCUCGGUGCAUCGGGGAAUCUGAGGGCUGUCGCGGCCAGUGAUGGCUUUGACGAUCUCAUCACGAGCUGCCCCUUUGUUAUGAAGGAGCUGAUCAACAUGUUUAUGGCUUAG
rnacentral:rRNA from 1 species